UUCCGGUUGAUCCUGCCGGACCUGACUGCUAUCGGAUUGAUACUAAGCCAUGCGAGUCAUUGUAGCAAUACAAGGCAGACGGCUCAGUAACGCGUAGUCAACCUAACCUAUGGACGGGAAUAACCUCGGGAAACUGAGAAUAAUGCCCGAUAGAACACUAUACCUGGAAUGGUUUGUGUUCCAAAUGAUUUAUCGCCGUAGGAUGGGACUGCGGCCUAUCAGUCUGUUGGUGAGGUAAUGGCCCACCAAGACUAUUACAGGUACGGGCUCUGAGAGGAGUAGCCCGGAGAUGGGUACUGAGACACGGACCCAGGCCCUAUGGGGCGCAGCAGGCGAGAAAACUUUGCAAUGUGCGAAAACACGACAAGGUUAAUCCGAGUGAUUUGUGCUAAACGAAUCUUUUGUUAGUCCUAGAAACACUAACGAAUAAGGGGUGGGCAAGUUCUGGUGUCAGCCGCCGCGGUAAAACCAGCACCUCAAGUGGUCAGGAUGAUUAUUGGGCCUAAAGCAUCCGUAGCCGGCUCUGUAAGUUUUCGGUUAAAUCUGUACGCUUAACGUACAGGCUGCCGGGAAUACUGCAGAGCUAGGGAGUGGGAGAGGUAGACGGUACUCGGUAGGAAGGGGUAAAAUCCUUUGAUCUAUUGAUGACCACCUGUGGCGAAGGCGGUCUACCAGAACACGUCCGACGGUGAGGGAUGAAAGCUGGGGGAGCAAACCGGAUUAGAUACCCGGGUAGUCCCAGCUGUAAACUAUGCAAACUCAGUGAUGCAUUGACUUGUGGUCAAUGCAGUGCUGCAGGGAAGCCGUUAAGUUUGCCGCCUGGGAAGUACGUACGCAAGUAUGAAACUUAAAGGAAUUGGC
rnacentral:rRNA from 1 species